rnacentral:lncRNA from 1 species
AUGCAGAACGUGGUGCCCAUCGGCGAGGGGGACUCUGUGGACGUGCCCCAGGACUCAGAGAGCCAGCUGCAGGAGCAGGAGAAGCGGAUUGAAAUCUCCUGUGCCCUGGCGACCGAGGCCUCCCGCAGGGGCCGCAUGCUGUCUGUGCAAGCCCUGGCUGAGGCCAAUGCUGUGAAGCUACACAGAGCCACCUUCUGAUAGCAUCCACUGCACACCUAGGGCUCUGGCUUCUCAUCCUGGCCUCCCGCCCUCGCACCCACCAUGGGAAUGCCUCAGAGAGCCAGGCUGGGGACCGGGGGCUGCCUCAUAAAGGAACAUGGAUGCCUUCAAGUUCACAUCUGCUGCUCUUGCCCUGAAGCCUGCACUAUCUCGGCAUGGUUCUAAGGCAAGACCUGGGAUGGCAAGGCCAGGAUGGCGUCCUCUCUGAGGCUCCAGUCGCAGGGAGCUCAAGUGCAGUUCUGGAUGGCAUUGUGUGGCCCUCCUGCACCAUCCCCCGAUGGACUCUGUGUGCUGAUGGGGAGCAUGUGCUCAGCUAUGGGUGGGGUCUAGAAGUGAAGACAAGACAGACUCUCCAUCCAUCCCUUGGAACCCAUACAACACAGCGAGAGGCCAGCUCUUGCCAUCACCCCACUCCCGUUCAGUCCCAGCUGCCUCAGCGAUGCCCGAGGCUUUGGCACGGCUCUGCUGGUGGGUUUCCCAGAGUUCACUGGAGGCUGGCCACCCUGCUUGAGCCAAAGAAGAUGAUGAGUUAUAAGGAGAGGCUCCUGGGCUCCCGGAGGGGUCAGGUGUGUUACAGCGAGACGACAGCAGGUCUGCACGGUGUCUGAGGGCAAGUUGGAAACAGGAGCAAGAUGGAAAGAGGGAAGAGGCUUAGAGAGCGAAGGGAGAGAAGGCCAGAUGCUUUUCACAAGCAACAGGAAUGUAAAGAAGGAGGGAAAAGGGAAAGGAGAAUAGGAAUGGCUUCCAUAGUGUAGAGCCUUUGGUUAGUGCCAAGCAGAGGGCCUGUCACCUCUGUACCUUCACGUCUUCCUCAGGUACAGGAGGCCCCAGGGGGACUCGUGCCAGGCACACGUCAGCCCCAGCUGAGGUGCUUGGUAUGAGGUAAGGGAGUGCUAGCGUGAGGUAGCCUGUGAGGUGGUCCUAUCUGUGUCAAGGCUUGCCGUCUCUCUCUGAGGCUCGUGGGCAGAGAGGAGACUGUCUUAUAUAAAGUCUUGUCAACCUUGGGGCCUUACCUAGCCAGUUUAAACCUGGAAAGUACUGUGGGGCUGACUGAGAAUUGCUCUAGGAGGAGGGAAUGAGGAUUUUACUGUGAGGCCAAGUUCUAGGUCUUUCCUUCUCAUCUCAGGCAUCUAGAGCAGAGGCUUUCUUACACCCACCUACCCAGGGAGGACAGGACAGGGAGAGACCGUAACAGAGCACAGUCUUCCUCUAGCCCACCUACCGUACGUGAAUGCAGCCAGAGAGCAGCAAAGGAAGGCUAGCUUCAGGCACCAAGCCCCCAGGCCUGCUCUGCCAGAUUCGCUGCCCAGAGACUUCAGCCUGAACAUCGGUGGCCCCAGGGAAAAAAACUGUGUCAUCUCCCAUCUGUUCAUCGUCACUCCGUCAUGGUCUGGCAGUUACUGGUUCAUAUGCAAGUAAAGAUGACCAUUCACUCAACAAAUGCUAGUCAAGCACUUUUUGUGGAUCAGGUACUGUUCUAGGUGCUUAGGAUAUUGUCUUGCUUCCGGGGGACUCUGGAACAGGAGGAUUCCACCUGUCUUCAGCUCUGUCAGGCCUCUGGGAAGUGCUCCUUUAUGACUUCCUAUAUCUGCAUAAUUCACAAACCCCAAAUCUACCCUUUCUUCCUUAAAGGCUGGUAGGGGAUCAGCUCCCAAGUUACCUUCUCUCCCCAUCCCCUCUUCCAAAAGAAACCAGAUUUUUAGGGCUUUCCCUGCCUUUGUCUCUCCUUUUUAAAAAAAAUAAUGGUAUUUUUAGAAAUACACGUGAAAUACCAAGAAAUGUCUUUGCCUCUCCUACCGCUCUCCCCCGCAUUUCAUAAAGCUGGUUCUUUAUGUUGCUUUACAUGCCUUAAUAUAUGUUUUAUGGAAGUGAUCAUGUCAUAGAUACCCAUGUAAUAUAUAUUUGUCUGGAUGUCAACCCUUUCCUCAGCUCCCGCCCCGACCAGUUUCUGUCCACGUCAUUCUUAGCAUGUUGAAGCCACAAUCCUUGCCUUUUUGAUCCAAAGAAGGGGAGAGGAAAGAUUUAUUUUAAGGCAGACCUUAUUCUAUGCUUUUGUUUAAAAAGCAGAUCUAUUUUCAAAAUGUGCAAUGUCUGAAAGGGACUGAUGAUAUGCGAGGGGACUCGGGUGGCUAUCCCCGGUCCCAGAGUCUAUGCCCUUCCCUCCCCCAGUGGCUUCCUUCCCAUUACCCAGUCAUUGGAAAGGGCUGGUCCCCAGGUUCGCCUGGAUGGUGUUCUGCAGGAGAAAAACAUUUCCCUCGAAAGUCCUGGUCUAAGAAUUUGACUUCACUGUCAACUUUAGAAAGCAGCCCAAGGGAUGUCAAGCAUUGAGGGCAGCAUGUCAAGCAUCUAAAGGAAAUGUUUACAACUGCAGAUGUACAGUCCUCACACGGGCCCCUGGACCACCUCCCAUCAUCCCUCUGUGAGAAAAGGCCAACAGGUUGCUGGCAGCCAUCUUGAAUGGUGUCAGUCUGCUCCCUGACAGACCCAAGACACAAGGCGAAACCCAGAGAGAGAGGCUCGGGACCCCCUGUGUUCUUUGGUGAAUACUGUGAGCUUCCCAGGCCUCUCACACUUUCUCCUGAGCCCACUCUAUGUCACACCUAUUUCCCUCUAAGACUUAUUUUCUAGGAGUUAUGGCACAUCGGUCUGGCAUCCAGACGUGAAGCCUGGUUCCUGGCGGGGGAGGGCCCCCGCAGUCGAAGUUUAAGUCUUUCCCAAGUAGAAGCCCUCAGUGCUCUGACAGGCUGUGGGCUGGAGUUCUGCCUGUGCCAGCUUAGAUUGCCAAACAUGCUUUCUGACAGGUGAUGUGAACAAGGAGGUUGGGAAGGAUAGAGAGACCUCUCCCCAGGUCUGAAACAAUGUGUUUGGGAAUUUUACAUCACUUCUGGCCAGCUUUUGAAGCCUGACCUCCAACUCUGGCAUUUGUUGGCCCUCUUCCCAGACUGGAGCCUCUUGCUGUGAAUGAACAGGACCCCAGACAUAGGCCUAGGGUUAAGCACCCCUUCAGGGGAAAGUUCUGGCUACCCACACAGGGCCUUCCCAAUGAACGCAUUACCUCCUCCCACCGAAAGCCAAAAGGCUGCGAUCAGAUACUGUUACCGUCACUUUAAAGAUUUUUCUGAGGAAGCAAGCUUGCAAGCCGCAAGCGUGCUCUCCUGCUUUUGUGAAAGGCAUGUUCUUGGGGCAAGGCUACUACUGCAAGAUGGAACCCCUUCCUUCCCCCUCAGGCACCCUCCUCCUGGCAGCUCUUUAAGGAAAAAUACUAUAUAUAAAUAUAUAUAAAUAUAUACAUAUCUAUUUAUGCACAUAUUUGGGGCCAAUUUGGUUUGCUAGUGUUAGACAAUAAACCAUACAAGGAAAUCUAUGAUCUCAGUGUCUUUAUUUAGUAUGGAAGUGACCUUAGACAAAGAGUUAAGGUUAGAUGAACAGCCUCUCUGUUGGGAUCACACCGAGGUAGCAUCCCCUGAGCAUCUGUCUAGCCGACCACCCUUCCCUGGAGAGGGAGCGCCUGGCUGAAGCAGGUGAGAACUUGCUCCCACCCUUCAGCCGCAAUCUUACUAGAUUAGGUACUGAAGAGCCCCACUGAGCUCUGCGUUUGUACCUUGCAAGUUUGUAUAAACCAAUGCUGGAAAUAAAAUGAGUGGUUUGUA